CUACCACAUCCAAGGAAGGCAGCAGGCGCGCAAAUUACCCACUCCCGGCACGGGGAGGUAGUGACGAAAAAUAACAAUACGGGACUCUUACGAGACCCCGUAAUUGGAAUGAGUACACUCUAAAUCCUUCCACGAGGAUCCAUUGGAGGGCAAGCCUGGUGCCAGCAGCUGCGGUAAUUCCAGUUCCAAUAGCGUAUAUUAAAGUUGUUGCGGUUAAAAAGCUCGUAGUUGGAUCUCAGUUCCAGGCGGGCGGUCCGCCUAACGGCGGCCACCGUCCGUUCUGAACAGCCAGCCGGCUUCCCUCGAUGAUCUUCACCGGUUGUCCCGGGUGGCCGGCACGUUUACUUUGAAAAAAUUAGAGUGCUCAGAGCAGGCGCGACGCCUGGAUAAUGGUGCAUGGAAUAAUGGAAUAGGACCUCGGUUCUGUUUUGUUGGUUUUCGGAGCGAGAGGUAAUGAUUAAGAGGGACAGACGGGGGCAUUCGUAUUGCUGCGCUAGAGGUGAAAUUCUUGGACCGCAGCAAGACGAACAGCAGCGAAAGCAUUUGCCAAGAAUGUUUCCAUUAAUCAAGAACGAAAGUUAGAGGUUCGAAGGCGAUCAGAUACCGCCCUAGUUCUAACCAUAAACGAUGCCAGCCAGCGAUCCGGCUGCGUUCCUCAAAUGACGCGCCGGGCAGCUUCCGGGAAACCAAAGCCUUUGGGUUCCGGGGGAAGUAUGGUU
rnacentral:rRNA from 1 species